rnacentral:rRNA from 1 species
AGCUGAUCAUUGGGUGUAAAGAGUGCGCAGGCGGUUUUGUAAGACAGAGGUGAAAUCCCCGGGCUCAACCUGGGAACUGCCUUUGUGACUGCAAGGCUGGAGUGCGGCAGAGGGGGAUGGAAUUCCGCGUGUAGCAGUGAAAUGCGUGGAUAUGCGGAGGAACACCGAUGGCGAAGGCAAUCCCCUGGGCCUGCACUGACGCUCAUGCACGAAAGCGUGGGGAGCAAACA